AAUCAUUUACAUAAACUAAUCGAAUCAAUUGAAAUAGACACUUAACUGUUUAAAAGGUGUCCUAAAUAUCUCGUUAGAUUAAACUGAAAUUGGGGGCCGAAAUCGGCCCUUACCGGACCUACUCCUUUAGAGCAAAUAUGACUGUAAUUGUCAAUUGACCCCUUAAAGAGUUUGCCCUUAAAAGACAAUUUUUCACAAUUUAUUAAUCAAGUUUGCUAACAUUUUAAAAAGUUAGUUGCCUUUAUGUUGGUUUUUAUACGACCGCAAAUUUUGAAAAAAUUUUCGUCGUAUAUUGCUAUCACGUUGGCGUCGGCGUCGUCCGGCGUCCGAAUACUUUUAGUUUUCGCACUCUAACUUUAGUAAAAGUGAAUGGAAAUCUAUGAAAUUUUAACACAAGGUUUAUGACCACAAAAGGAAGGUUGGUAUUGAUUUUGGGAGUUUUGGUCCCAACAUUUUAGGAAUUAGGGGCCAAAAAGGGCCCAAAUAAGCAUUUUCUUGGUUUUCGCACUAUAACUUUAGUUUAAGUUAAUAGAAAUCUAUGAAAUUUUGACACAAGGUUUAUGACCACAAAAGAACGGUUGGGAUUGAUUUAGGGAGUUUUGGUCUCAACAGUUUAGGAAUUAGGGGCCAAAAAAGGGCCCAAAUAAGCAUUAUUCUUGGUUUUCGCACAAUAACAUUAGUUUAAGUAAAUAGAAAUCAAUGAAAUUUAAACACAAUGUUAAUGACUACAAAAGGAAGGUUGGUAUUGAUUUUGGGAGUUUAGGUCCCAACAGUUUAGGAAUUAGGGGC
rnacentral:lncRNA from 1 species